GGCGGGAUAGCUCAGUCGGUUAGAGCAGCGGAAUCAUAAUCCGCGUGUCGGGGGUUCAAGUCCCUCUCCCGCUA
rnacentral:tRNA from 1 species